AAAGAGCAGCGACUGGAGGAGAGAAUGUGGGAGGAUGGCACUGCAGAAGCUGGAGCUGCAAUUGGACAAUGAAGGCCAAGAUGGAAAUGGAGCCAAACUUUAAAAAGUAGGAAA